ACCAGCAUCCAAACCUGAAUAUUAAACUUACAGGAUACACCGGUCCACAGAGAAUUUCAAUCCCAGAGCCUAAGUCUGUGAGGGACCUGGGUAUUGACGGCUGGUACAGUAGUAAUUCCUGGAGCUUUCUUCAAGGUUGUCAAGCAACUUGUGCUUUUUUUUUGGUUUUCACAUUUUUGAAAAUUUUAUAAAGUUCUCUCAGUCAAAAUAAAUGGCCUUCUACUGCACUCGUCUUAUGAACUGGCUGGUAUUUUCUAAGAUAGCACUGCCAGGUGUGCGUAUAUCCUUCAGCGAAAUGUCUAGUGUAAUCUUGUUCAUCUUCCUAAAAGCACUGAUUUCCCAGUAUGGGAGGUUUUGUUUAGACAGGAGACUUUAAAAUGUCAUGUCCAAACCUUAUUUUGGGUAUAUCCCUAGCAGUGUGCUCUGAAAGCAUGGUCACCACUUACGGUUGCCAGGUGUCCACUAAGGUACUGCAUUUUAGUUUGCGGAUCUAAUUAAGGAAUUCCUUGGUGCACGUUUAGUAUAUUUUAAAUAACUGAUAGUGAAGACAGAGUGUAGUAAGCACAUGUAGCAAUGUUGUGAAUUUAAACUUAUAGAUCAAUUCAAAUAUAUUUGGGACAGAUUUAACCUGUAAAAAAAAAAAAAAAAAAAAAAACCUAUUUUCACUGGUUUAGGCAAAAGGUGUCAAAAACACCAAAUCAUUUCAGAGCAAACUGUUGACCGACGAAUUCCAUUUCAAGCUUCUGCAUACCAAGAAAACAACUCUCUUGAAUUCACAACACUGUUUUAAGUUCAUUCUGAGUAUAAGAAUAAGAACCCAGUACUACAACAUUCUGCCAAACAACCUCAAGAGAUUUGCCAGAUUUACAAAUGGCAGACUUUAAAACAAAGUCUGUAUAAAUUUUUAUGAGAUACCAGUUGAAUCCAGAAACAGCACAGAAAAGAAACUCAAACACUCUGAAAGAAUGGUGCUCAAGCAUGGCCUUAGCCUCCGAAUAAGGCCAGUAAAAGAGUCUGGCAGCAUUGCUUGUAGGUCCACGUAUAGAUUUUGGUGAUUUUUCUUUCAAGAAGUUAUGACUCAUUUCAGGUUGAAGAGAAGCUGUACCAAUUCUGUAAUGGAGCCUAGUAAUGAGUGCAUUUUUCGUGCUGUUGAAUAAUGUUGGCCCCUAUUCAUUGGUGGAUGGAUUUUUGAGGUGUGGAAUGAGUGGUUUGAUGUGGGGCGUGUAAGGUUAGGAUACAAUCAGGGUUUGUAUCCAGCAAACAUCUUGUACCAAAGUGGAGAUUUGUAUGUAAAUUCUGACUGUU